AAAAAAAAAACUUGACUGCAAAGUUGCAGCUAUAAUUCAGAGAGUCCCCACAUGACCCUCACCUGGUCUCCCCCAGCACUAACGUCCUCCACGACGGCGGUUUGUUGUCAGAGCUAAUACAUCAACAUCCCACCACGGUCACCAUGAACCGAACGGCAGAGUGCUGGUGCACACACACGUGCGCACACACAUCAAGAACACCGCGACGAAUGUACAGAUAAACAAUAAGCCAGACACUAACCACGGGGCAAUAAUCAACAGUCUCCGUUGAGCAAAAUUCGUUUGCGUUUCUAUGGACCAGAGUCAAGUUUGCCGCGCUACCAGUCAGCUCUAAGUCACAAGAGCUGUGAAAUAAUUUUUUUAAAAAACUAAAAAUUAAAAAAAAAGUUUCCAGGGGCUGUACAAUAAAUAGUCCAGAGGCGACAGGAAGCCCCGGAGGUUUCGGAGGGCGCACCAGAGCCUGACAUUGAUCGAUACCCCGUCACCGCACAAAUGCUAAGGACCUGCUGAUGUUUGUGAGCUAAGGUCACAGCUCGCUCACUGCACGUUUAUUUCCGGGGCUACUUUUGGAGGAUCUGCUGUCCCUGCUGGUCUGUGAGCCCCGCGCCUCCCUGUAUCACCAUGAGCGCCUAGGCCACAGCUGAGAUGACCAGAGAGCUCCUGGGGAGCCACCCGAGACUCUGAUCAGAGUAGGAACACCCAUGCCAUGUACCCCGGAAGGACAGACUCAGGGUGUGGCAGGUCCAGCCACAGAGCAGGUGGAACCAGCAGGACGGGGUGCACAAGGCGGCAGCAGCACCAGCAGCAGCGAGUGAGACACCGGCAGCUGGUUGGGUGUGUGGCUUUGUCCCAAGGUGCUCUCACGUGGGCGUCGCUGGCCUUAACCCCUGCUCAGCCAGAGGGACCGCCCCGCUCACAACGCUUCCCUUGCCGUGAGUCCCUGGCAUCACCACGGGACUGGAAGGAACAGGUGGGCCAUGGAUGCACCUGGUGGCUCCCCUUCCCUCCGCUCCCCUGCAUCUGAGGCUGGCAAGCUCUGUGUGGGGGGGGGCGGAUGUGCCCCCCGCAGAUCACCAUUCCGCUGGCUCCCGCCCGCAGAACACAUCUGAAUGCAAAUUCUGCUCCUCGGCCACUGCCGCCCCUGCGUGGAUUCCUGUGCCGGGACUGGCCAACCAUUUCCCUGCUGGGCAGCUGUGGGCAAGUCACCGAGUGGCCUCAGUUUCCUCACCUGAAAAAUGGGAAAAGCACCAGCCCCUGCGUUCUGGGGCUAUUUGAGACCUCAGGUUUGAGCUCUGUCCUCCGCACUGGGUUCCCCAACUUUUCCUCCCCCGUGAGAAGUUGGAUAAACGGAUGAAAAUGUCUGUAAAGUGCUCAUAGAACCAUGCUGGGUCCGCACCUUCUAGCCACGACGAUCCGUCCACAGGUGCGAAAGGCUCAGGUGCCGGUAGGUGUAAGGCACACGCUGGAUGUGGGGGGCUCAGGGUGCAAAAGAGAACGUAAAAUAUCUCGUUAUUUUGAAUACUGAUUCCGUGUUGGAACAGUAACAGUAACAGUUUCAGAUGUUUUGGGUUUGAUUAAAUUUAAUCGUUAAAA